UUCACCAGGUUCACCACGCAGAGCACCCC
rnacentral:sRNA from 1 species